AGUGAACGCUGGCGGUAGGCCUAACACAUGCAAGUCGAACGGCAGCACAGUAAGAGCUUGCUCUUACGGGUGGCGAGUGGCGGACGGGUGAGGAAUACAUCGGAAUCUACUUUUUCGUGGGGGAUAACGUAGGGAAACUUACGCUAAUACCGCAUACGACCUACGGGUGAAAGCAGUGGAUCUUCGGACCUUGCGCGAUUGAAUGAGCCGAUGUCGGAUUAGCUAGUUGGCGGGGUAAAGGCCCACCAAGGCGACGAUCCGUAGCUGGUCUGAGAGGAUGGUCAGCCACACUGGAACUGAGACACGGUCCAGACUCCUACGGGAGGCAGCAGUGGGGAAUAGUGGACAAUGGGCGCAAGCCUGAUCCAGCCAUACCGCGUGGGUGAAGAAGGCCUUCGGGUUGUAAAGCCCUUUUGUUGGGAAAGAAAAGCAGCAGGUUAACACCCCGCUGUUCUGACGGUACCCAAAGAAUAAGCACCGGCUAACUUCGUG
rnacentral:rRNA from 1 species